CACCGACCAUCGUCGUUGUCGCCGCGCCACCACCGUGCUCGAUUAUUAUAGGGAAAAAUCUCCGGAAAGACGUACUCAGUUCGCGUUAGAAUUCCGUACCAUGAGCAUCGUAACGAACUGUAUGCAUCUGGGACACACGACUAGCUCUGGCUGAGAAGUUUCCAUUUGAAAGUGAAUGUCGCGUUAACUAUAGUACUGUUGAAUCGCCAGUGAGUGACGAAACCCCGUGAAGUGUGACAGGAUUGGGCCCUUUAAGGACAUUGUGUGGUCUCAAGGAUUUUCAGUGGGAAAUGACACGUCGCGCGUGUGAUUAUUAGUGGUGGAUUGAUUUUUCUUGAUUGGAAACUACAUUCGUUAUUAACAGUGAGUGACGACGUGAAAAGGGUGAAUAUUUGGUAAACAGUGUACCUACCUCCUCCUUGGUGGAUGAAAAGGAUAAUCGAGAAGCUAUGCCCAAAUACGGAGAAGGGGGUGGUGUUGACCAUGUUUUAGACUAGGAGACGGUCUCGUCAACAUCGACGACGACGACGACAACGGCUACAGCUCCGGCUAUAGUUGUUCAUCGCAGUGAGAUGGUUCAUAUCUUCAAAUUACUAACAGUGGAAAAGUUUGACUAGUUAAAAAUAAACGCAUUCGGUUUGUGAACUGCGACACAGCAGCGACGACGCGGUUUACAUUGUGUGGAGAAGUGGACAUAUCCGAAGAUUGAUCGGUUACAAAGUUACAAAGCGGCGUAAUUUUGGAGGUGGUAGAGAAAUGGAGUAAAAAACAAUUCAGAACCAAGUGGAAAGUUCCCACAGUCGAUGGGAAAAGUUUAAUCGGAAAAAGUGAAAACAAUUUAGGACAAAAGAAAAGCAAAAAUUUGAUGUAAUACACUCGGUUUUUCCUUUUCCCUCGAUGCCUUUGUAUGGUGCACCACCCGGAAUAAGGUGGGGGCACUCGUCGUCAACGGGACGUGCCCUUGUGUUGGUGUUUGUCGGAAAAGUCGGAAAAAGGAUCCUCAUGUAAAGUAGUGACUACGUGUCUGUAGAUGAAUACUCAUAUCUCCGCGUGUGCAUCUGUGUUAGUGAGUAGAAUCCAAUAUUCAGCGUUUAUCCUUUGUCAUUGCUCUGUUUAGUGCUCUCCUGAGUAUUGCUACUGAGUCUCCAUCGCAGUGUUGGUAAAAAAUUGUAAUUCAAUGAAAGUACACCUUCUGCAUUAUACAUAACACUGCGUGUCUCGGAGGAAAGCCAAGUCGUAAAAACCCAAUAUACGCGCGCUUGAAACGCACAUCGGGCGCUCCCCAGAACCCACGUCGUCAUCGGCAGCCACUACAUAUUCGGAAAAGCGGCGCAACCACGUAUAUUGACAGACAGCUGAGCAAACUCUUCUCUGACUGGAGAGUACAUACCCGUGCAACAGCUUUCCCCAGUCGUCCUUGGUGACGUGGUUUUGCGAGCAUUUAUUUUUUGCGUUUGUGUUGGCCAACAGCCAUCAGGCAACGGUAGUGCGCGAGGAGAGAAGGCUAAACGAUCGCGUGCCAGCAACAACAACGGCAACGACGACCACAACGUCUCAGCUGUAACCAGCUAACAGGUAAAUCUCAAACUGCUAGGAAUCCAAAUUAUUCCAGGAUCAGGUAAUCAUAUUUGGCAAUAUCGAAAAUCGGGAAUCGAAAAAUAACUCUUUUGAACAUAUCUAGUAUAUGUUCUGUCUAAGUA